GUUUAUGGCCAUAUCACUUUGAAAACACCGGUUCUCGUCCGAUGAUCCUCGUCCGAUGAUCCGAAGUUAAGCAACGUCGAGCCUGGUUAGUACUUAUAUGGGUGACCGCUUGGGAAACCUAGGUGCUGUAAACG
rnacentral:rRNA from 1 species